GAAUUUGAGAGCAAGAGAGUGGAGUCAACAACACCUCAGUAUGUUCAAGUUUACAAGUGUCUUUGUGAGUCGUUAGGGAAAUCUGGUCGCGCUUAUGAGGCUUUGGAGUACUUUAGAGACAUGACUAAGAAGGGGAUUCAAGAGGAUCAUUCAUUUUACUCCAUAGUUAUAUGUGGAUUCGCGAGCAUUCGUGAUGUGAAAAUGGCUGAGGAGCUUUUAG
rnacentral:misc_RNA from 1 species